rnacentral:rRNA from 1 species
GUAGGGAAUAUUGGGCAAUGGUCGGAAGACUGACCCAGCCAUGCCGCGUGCAGGAAGACGGCCCUCUGGGUUGUAAACUGCUUUUAUCUGGGAAGAAAAAGGCCAUGCGUGGCAAAUUGCCGGUACCAGAUGAAUAAGCACCGGCUAACUCCGUGCCAGCAGCCGCGGUAAUACGGAGGGUGCAAGCGUUGUCCGGAUUUAUUGGGUUUAAAGGGUGCGUAGGCGGCUGAUUAAGUCAGCGGUGAAAGACUCCGGCUUAACCGGAGCAGUGCCGUUGAUACUGGUUAGCUUGAGUGUUGGAGGGGUACAUGGAAUUGAUGGUGUAGCGGUGAAAUGCAUAGAUACCAUCAGGAACACCGAUAGCGAAGGCAUUGUACUGGCCAACAACUGACGCUGAUGCACGAAAGUGUGGGGAUCGAACAGGAUUAGAUACCCCUGUAGUCC